rnacentral:rRNA from 1 species
CGUUGCACUAUCGUUAACUGAAUACAUAGGUUAACGAGGCGAACCGGGGGAACUGAAACAUCUAAGUACCCCGAGGAAAAGAAAUCAACCGAGAUUCCCCCAGUAGCGGCGAGCGAACGGGGAGCAGCCCGGAGUCUGAAUCAGCUUGUGUGUUAGUGGAACGGUCUGGAAAGUCCGACGGUACAGGGUGAUAGUCCCGUACACGAAAGCACACAUGCUGUGAACUCGAAGAGUAGGGCGGGACACGUGGUAUCCUGUCUGAAUAUGGGGGGACCAUCCUCCAAGGCUAAAUACUCCUGACUGACCGAUAGUGAACCAGUACCGUGAGGGAAAGGCGAAAAGAACCCCGGCGAGGGGAGUGAAAAAGAACCUGAAACCGUGUACGUACAAGCAGUGGGAGCCUCUUUAUGGGGUGACUGCGUACCUUUUGUAUAAUGGGUCAGCGACUUAUAUUCUGUAGCAAGGUUAACCGUAUAGGGGAGCCGAAGGGAAACCGAGUCUUAACUGGGCGUUAAGUUGCAGGGUAUAGACCCGAAACCCGGUGAUCUAGCCAUGGGCAGGUUGAAGGUUGGGUAACACUAACUGGAGGACCGAACCGACUAAUGUUGAAAAAUUAGCGGAUGACCUGUGGCUGGGGGUGAAAGGCCAAUCAAACCGGGAGAUAGCUGGUUCUCCCCGAAAGCUAUUUAGGUAGCGCCUCGUGAACUCAUCUUCGGGGGUAGAGCACUGUUUCGGCUAGGGGGCCAUCCCGGCUUACCAACCCGAUGCAAACUACGAAUACCGAAGAAUGUUAUCACGGGAGACACACGGCGGGUGCUAACGUCCGUCGUGAAGAGGGAAACAACCCAGACCGCCAGCUAAGGUCCCAAAGUCAUGGUUAAGUGGGAAACGAUGUGGGAAGGCACAGACAGCCAGGAUGUUGGCUUAGAAGCAGCCAUCAUUUAAAGAAAGCGUAAUAGCUCACUGGUCGAGUCGGCCUGCGCGGAAGAUGUAACGGGGCUAAACCAUGCACCGAAGCUGCGGCAGCGACACUAUGUGUUGUUGGGUAGGGGAGCGUUCUGUAAGCCGUUGAAGGUGUGCUGUGAGGCAUGCUGGAGGUAUCAGAAGUGCGAAUGCUGACAUAAGUAACGAUAAAGCGGGUGAAAAGCCCGCUCGCCGGAAGACCAAGGGUUCCUGUCCAACGUUAAUCGGGGCAGGGUGAGUCGACCCCUAAGGCGAGGCCGAAAGGCGUAGUCGAUGGGAAACAGGUUAAUAUUCCUGUACUUGGUGUUACUGCGAAGGGGGGACGGAGAAGGCUAUGUCAGCCGGGCGACGGUUGUCCCGGUUUAAGCAUGUAGGCGGAGGUUCCAGGUAAAUCCGGUACCUUAUUAACGCUGAGGUGUGAUGACGAGGCACUACGGUGCUGAAGUGAUAAAUGCCCUGCUUCCAGGAAAAGCCUCUAAGCAUCAGGUAACACGAAAUCGUACCCCAAACCGACACAGGUGGUCAGGUAGAGAAUACCAAGGCGCUUGAGAGAACUCGGGUGAAGGAACUAGGCAAAAUGGUGCCGUAACUUCGGGAGAAGGCACGCUGAUAUGUAGGUGAAGCCCCUGCGGGUGGAGCUGAAAUCAGUCGAAGAUACCAGCUGGCUGCAACUGUUUAUUAAAAACACAGCACUGUGCAAACACGAAAGUGGACGUAUACGGUGUGACGCCUGCCCGGUGCCGGAAGGUUAAUUGAUGGGGUUAGCGGCAACGCGAAGCUCUUGAUCGAAGCCCCGGUAAACGGCGGCCGUAACUAUAACGGUCCUAAGGUAGCGAAAUUCCUUGUCGGGUAAGUUCCGACCUGCACGAAUGGCGUAAUGAUGGCCAGGCUGUCUCCACCCGAGACUCAGUGAAAUUGAACUCGCUGUGAAGAUGCAGUGUACCCGCGGCAAGACGGAAAGACCCCGUGAACCUUUACUAUAGCUUGACACUGAACACUGGUCCUUGAUGUGUAGGAUAGGUGGGAGGCUUUGAAGCGUGGACGCCAGUCUGCGUGGAGCC